rnacentral:SRP_RNA from 2 species
GCCAGGUGCGGUGGCUCACGCCUGUAAUCCCAACGCUUUGGGAGGCUGAGGCGGGUGGAUCACCUGAGGUCAGGAGUUCGAGACCAGCCUGACCAACAUGGUGAAACCCCGUCUCUA